rnacentral:misc_RNA from 1 species
AAGUCGUAACAAGGUUUCCGUAGGUGAACCUGCGGAAGGAUCAUUAACAAAUUCUAUUUUUAUAUAUUGUGCAUUUUAGGGUGCGUGACUUGUCACUAGCCCUAAAGCAAGAAACUAUUAGUCUCUAAUUUAUUUAUAAUCUACAACUUUUAACAAUGGAUCUCUAGGCUCUU